rnacentral:rRNA from 1 species
AUGGUCCUCCGCGAGGCGCUCUCCCACGUCGGCCCGCGCCUCGUCUUCUCCUUCCAGCACGUCGUCAGCGGCUUCGCCGCCCGCCUCACGGACCGCGAGGUCGCCGAGCUCUCCAAGCUGCCCUGGUGCGUCGAGGCGCUCCCCGACGCCACCCUGCGAAUCACCACCACCUACACGCCGGAGCUGCUCGGGGUGUCCGCGCCGGCCACGGGCGCGUGGAGCGUCGCCGGGAGCAUGGGCGAGGGCGUCAUCGUCGGGGUCCUCGACAACGGGAUCGACCCGUGGCACGUCUCGUUCCUGGACGACGGCAUGCAGCCGCCGCCCGCCAAGUGGCGCGGCGGGUGCCACUUCGCCGGCGGGGCGCCCUGCAACAAGAAGCUCAUCGGCGGCCGGUCCAGGGCCCCGCAGGAGCACGGCACGCACACCUCCGGCACCGCCGUGGGCGCGUUCGUGCGGGACGUCCAGCUGCUCGGGGCCCCCGCCGGGGCGGCCUCCGGCAUGGCGCCGCGCGCGCACCUGGCCUUCUACGAGGUGUGCCUCGCCGACACCUGCUCCGCCACGGAGGUCCUCUCCGUCACCGAGAAGGGCGCGUUCCAGGACGGCGUCGACGUCAUCUCCAUGUCCAUCGGCGACGACACGCAGAAGCCCUUCUACAAGGACCUCAUCGCCGUCGGCAGCUUCUCCGCCGUCCUUUCCGGCGUCUUCGUCAGCACCAGCGCCGGGAACGCCGGCCCGCUCGAGCGCACCGUCACCAACUGCGCCCCGUGGCUGCUCACCGUCGCCGCCAGCACCAUGGGCCGCCGCCUCGUCUCCAGGCUGGAGCUCGGCAACGGGGUGGUGAUCGACGGCGAGAACCUGAACCCGUACGAGCCCGUCAAGGACAGGCCGCUCGUCUUCAUCGCGGGCAUGUUCGCCGACGGCGCGCUCAGCGCCGUCGACGUGCGCGGCAAGAUCGUGGCGUGCCAGCGCAAGGAGGACCCGUUCAUGCUCGCGGAGAUGAUCCAGAAGGCCGGCGGCGUGGGCAUGGUCAGCUGGUCCGGCCCGAAGCGCGGCGCCGCGACCACGCCCGUGGACGACCUCACCAUCGCCGCGGCGCGGGUGACGCACGCCGACGGCGAGAAGAUCAUCGCGUACGUCAACUCCACGCCCAACCCCACGGCCAGCCUCAGUUUCGCCGGCGCCGUGCUGAACCGGGCCUCCCUGCCGGCCAUCGCCGAGUACUCCUCGAGAGGGCCCUGCAACAUGUCCAGCGUCGGCGUGCUGAAGCCGGACAUCACCGGGCCCGGCACGGCCAUCGCCGCCUCCGUCCCCGGCGGCGCCAACGGCACCGCGCCGACCAGGACCUUCGGGCUGCACAGCGGCACGUCCAUGUCCACGCCGCACCUGUCCGGGAUCGUGGCCAUGAUCAAGAAAGCGCGCCCGCAGUGGUCACCGGCGGCGAUCAAGUCAGCGCUGAUGACAACCGCCGACGUGACGCACCCGGACGGCACCCCGAUCGUGGACGAGACCACCGGGAAGCCGAACUGCUUCGCCAUGGGCGCCGGGUUCGUGAACCCGACGCGGGCGCUUGACCCGGGGCUCGUCUACGACCUGGCGCCGGCGGACUACAUCCCCUACGUGUGCGGGCUCGGGUACAACGAGAGCGUGAUGAGCGAGAUCAUGGCGCAGCCGCUGCAGAACGUGAGCUGCGCCAAGGCGGGGAGGAUCCAGGGCAAGGACCUCAACUACCCGUCGAUCAUGGUGACGCUCACGCCGGCGGCGCCGGAGGUCGAGGUCAAGCGCGCGGUGACCAACAUCGGGGACCCCGUGUCGGCAUACACCCUGGAGGUCGUCCCGCCGGAGGACGUGGCCGUCGAGGUGGUGCCCAACGUGCUGACCUUCGGCUCAGUGAACCAGAGGAUGGAGUUCACGGUGAAGCUCAAGCGAGGCCCCAAUGCCACCGCCGUGGGCACCGCCGAGGGCAGCCUCCGGUGGGUCUCGGGCAAGCGGUCCGUGCGCAGCCCGAUCGCCGUGCUCUUCGAGCCACUGCCCAACUAA